UGUCUCACCACCUACCUGUCAGCACGGAGGAUUUGUUGAUCAAACAUGUUCAUGUGCUUGUCCUCCAGAUUUAACUGGCACUGUUUGUCAACAACUUGAUCAAAGUAGUUCCAAUUGUGGAGGUACUAUUAAUAUAGCAGGUGGUGAAACAUUUUUUCUGACGUCACCAAAUUACCCAUCGAAUUAUGACACCGGUUUGAAGUGUGUAUGGUUCAUACAGGGAGAUCCUGGCAACCAUAUAAGAGCAACUGUUACCGAUAUGGAUGUAAGCCAUAACAA